rnacentral:rRNA from 1 species
AAUGAACGUUGGCGGCGUGGAUUAGGCAUGCAAGUCGAGCGAGAACCCCGCAAGGGGGGACAGCGGCGAAAGAGACAGUAAUACGCAGAUUACCUACCCUCGGGACCGGAAUAGCUGCGGGAAACUGCAGGUAAUGCCGGAUAACGUCCCCGGACCAAAGGUGAGAUUCCGCCUGAGGAUGGGUCUACGUCCUAUUAGCUUGUUGGUGGGGUAACGGCCUACCAAGGCAAUGAUGGGUAGUGGGUGUGAGAGCACGACCCGCGUCACUGGGACUGAGACACUGCCCAGACACCUACGGGUGGCUGCAGUCGAGGAUCUUCGGCAAUGGGCGCAAGCCUGACCGAGCGACGCCGCGUGUGGGAUGAAGGCCUUCGGGUUGUAAACCACUGUCAGAGGGGAUGAAAUGCAGGUGGGUUCUCCCAUCUGUUUGACAUAUCCUCAGAGGAAGUACGGGCUAAGUUCGUGCCAGCAGCCGCGGUAAGAC